AAACCAACAUGUAUUGGCGGUCUUUACAACUUAGAGAAACUCGCUUUAUAAUCGUAAAUACCCGAUAAUUUUGACUUAAUUUAUAUUCAGCCUAUAUACCGCCGUUUAGAAUUUAGUACUACAUACAACCCUUAAAAUUCCUAUAUCCAAAAUCAGGUCAAGGUGUAGCCAAUAAUUAAGAAAAAGUAAGUUACAUUAAAAACAAUUUAAGAAUUACACAUUAACAUUCAAGUAUGAAAAAGAAUUUAUUUGUACGUAAUAAUUAAAAAUUAAUACCGAACUAAAUAUUAAAGAUGCACACAUCGCCCGUCGC
rnacentral:rRNA from 1 species